GCGGGGGUACCAGAGCCAGGUCUAAUGGGCAGAAGGCGUGAUCAUAGCCUGCCCUGGGCUUAGGACCCUGUGGCGAAGGCCUUCGUGGGUUCGAAUCCCACCCCCCGCACCA
rnacentral:tRNA from 1 species